CCAUCUUAAGACCCCGUCAACAUCGCGCCUUCUCAUUGGCUCCUGCGUCUCAGCCAAUGGGCUGGGGCCGUUCUGGCCCUAGGGUCGCCUUGGCAACCGGCCUCGUGGGGCGUGCCUUUUUAGUCCGUGCGAAGGAGGCGCUGUGUUAUGCCCUGAAGGGAGUACUUGGAGAACAUAGAAAAUGAGGAAACAAACAAAAAACAAAAACAAAAACGAGAAAACCACUGUGAAGAAGAUAAAUUAAACAGUUAACAAAAAGGUGUGCCUAAGAGUGCUGUUGUAACUGCAUCAGGCCUCUUAAUUGCUCUUCAUCUGCUCGGGCUGUCAUAGCAAAAUACUACAGACAAGGUAGCUGAGGCAACAGGAAUUUAUUUCUCACAAUUCUAGAUGCUGGGAAGUCCAAGAUCAAGAUGCCAUCAAAGUAAAUACCUAGGCAUGGGUUUGCUGGAUUAAAUGAUAAGUUUUUAUUUAACUACAUAAGAAACUACCAAAGUGUUUUCAAAAGUGCCUGUACCAUUAUACAUUUUCACCAGUAACGUAUGAAAAUUCCUGUUGCUCCCCAUUCUUCGGUAUGGACAUAAAAAGUAAGUGUGUUCAAGUAAGUGUAUAGUGGUAUCUCAUUGUGUAUCAAUUUUAAUUUAUCUAAUAACUUAUGAUGUCUCUGGAUUGUCUUUUGACUUUUUAACGGUGUGUUUCAAAGAGCAAAGUUUUCCAUUUUGCUAAAGUUUAACAUCAAUUUUUUCUUUCAUAGUUUAUGCUUCAGAUGUUAUGUCUAGGAAAUUCUAAGAAAUCCUUGCCUUGUCCAAGGACACAAAGACUUUUUUUGCUUUUUAUUAUAACUUUUUUCUUUUUUCUUUUUUUUUUUUUAGAGACAGGAUCUUACUCUGUCACCCAGGCUGAAGUGCAGUGACAUAACCAUAGCUCAAGGCAACCACAGCUCACUGCAACCUCAAACUCGUGGGCUCCAACCAUCCUCCCGCCUCAGCGCCCUGAGUCUCCAUUAACCAUGACUGGCUAAUGGUCACAAAAAUUAUUUUCAAUUUUAUUAUUUCUGUUUUAUGCUACACAUUUUUAUAGUUUUAGAUUAUAGGUUUAUGAUCCAUUUUGCGUCAACUAUAUAUAUGAUAUAGUAUAUGUCAAGGAUUAUUUUUUGGUACCUGGAUGUCCAGUUGUUCCAGCAUGAUUUAUUGAAACUCCUUCUUCCAGUGAAUUGCCUUUGCACCUAUGCUGAAAAUCAAACUGACCAUAUAUAUUCUAGACUCAAUUCUGUUCCAUUAGUCUAUGCAUAUAUUCUUUCUCCAAUAUACACUGUCUUAAUGACAGUGGCUUUAUGAUGUGUUUUGAAAUCAAGUAAUGUCAGUCUUCCAACCACAUUCUUUUUUUAAAAUUGUUUUUACUAUACUGGUUUGUUUGCUUAUUCAUAUAAAUUUUAGAAUUAGCUUGUCAGUUUCUACAAAAAUAUGCUGCUAAUAUUUUGAUUGGGACUGCAUUAAACCUAUAGAUCAAUUUGGAGAGAACUGAUGUCUUAACAUUAUUGAGUCUUCCAUGAAAAGUUUAUCUCUAGAUUUAUUUAGGUCUUCUUUAAUUUCUCUCAUGAAUAUUUUGGGGUUUCAAACAUAUGAUCAUGCACAUAUUUUAUAUUUAAAACUGUUUCAUGGCUUUUAUGCUAUAAAUUGUUAUAAACUGUGUUGGAACUCUUUUUAAUUUCAAUUUCCAACUUUUCAUUGCUAUUAUAUAUAAAUAAUUUUUAGAUUUUUAUUAUGCAUUUUGUUGUUGUUGUAUGGAUUGUUCUGCAGACAUGAGUUAGCUCAACUUGCUCCUGCUGUUCAAGUUUUGUACUUCCUUAUUGAUUUUCUGCCAACUUGUUUAAUUGAUUACUGAGACAGGAAUGUUGAAUUCUCAAACUGUUAUUAUGGAUAUGUCUAUUUCUUCUCUCAUUUAUAUCAGGUUUGCUUCUGGUAUUCGAAGCUAUGUUUUCAGGUGCCCAUAUAUAUGGGGGUUUUAUGACGUCUUUGUGAAUUGACCUUUUUGUUGUUAUGUAAUAGUCGUCUUUAUCCUUGGUAAUAUUCCUUAUUCUGAAGUCUAUUUUGUUUGAUAUCCAGAUAGCCACUCUAGGUUUUAAAAAAUUUGUAUUUGCAUGGCAUAUCUUUAUCCAUUAUUUUAUUCUUAACAUAUAUAUGAUUUACAUUUAAAGUGUAUGGUGGCUCAUGCCUGUAAUCCCAACACUUUGGGAGGCUGAGGCAGGUGUAGUGUUUGAGCUCAGCAGUUUGAGACCAGCUUGGGCAACAUGGUGAGACCC